rnacentral:rRNA from 1 species
UACGUAGGGUGCGAGCGUUAAUCGGAAUUACUGGGCGUAAAGCGUGCGCAGGCGGUUCGUUGUGUCGGCGGUGAAAGCCCCGGGCUUAACCUGGGAAUGUCCGUUGAAACUGGCGAACUGGAGUGUGGCAGAGGGGGGUGGAAUUCCGCGUGUAGCAGUGAAAUGCGUAGAGAUGCGGAGGAACACCGAUGGCGAAGGCAGCCCCCUGGGCUGACACUGACGCUCAGGCACGAAAGCGUGGGGAGCAAACAGG